rnacentral:lncRNA from 1 species
UGUUCCUGGACCAUAAGUUUCUGUGAGUCCAUAUAGGUGUGAUACUCUGAAGCCUAGCUCCUCAAUCUUAAAUAGGAUCUGGGGAGGUGGCGGUGAACCACCAGUCAUAACAUCAACCUUGUGAGGAAGUAGCUUCCGAUCACUUGGUGCCGAAUUGACGAUCAUGUUUAAGACGGUUGGUGCCCCACCUAUGUUUGUGACCUUAUGGAGAACUAUGUUGUCAAAGAUGUCUUUUGGAGUAACACGUCUAAGGCAAACAUUAGUUCCACCAAAGGCCGCCAAUCCCCAAACCAGGCACCACGCAUUACAGUGGAACAUUGGUACUGUCCAAAGAUAAACAGGCACUGAGGCCAUGCCAUGAAUAAAAAAUGUGGCAAUGGCAUUUAGGUAAGCACCUCUGUGGUUGUAAACAACCCCUUUGGGUCGCGAAGUCGUGCCAGAAGUAUAGUUUACACUUAUGGGAUCCCAUUCAGUUUUAGGCCACCUGAUAGGAAAUUGACAAUUUCCGGUUGACAGUAGACUUUCAUAUUCAUGACUGUUAGAGGUAUCAAUGGAGGGACAUGAGUUGUCUGAUUCAGGGAUUACUACCAGAAUUGGAGGCUCUGUUUGGGAACUUUGAAGAAGAUCAAAUGCCCCUUGAGCGACCUCAAGAAACUGGUAGUCCACAAAGAUUACCUUGGCUUCUGAAUGCCUCAACAAGACUGAUAUCAUAGCUGAGUCAUGGCGUGUAUUGAGCGUGCACAAAACUCCUCCAGCCAUUGGCACUGCAAAAUGCAAUUCCUGCAUUGCUGGUAUGUUUGGAGCCAGUGUAGCAACCUGUUCAGCAAGUAAAAAUCCAUGCCAACUUAGAAAUAUUCUGCACAUUGCACAAGAGUCGUGGUAAAGAAUAUUGAUGGCAUUUGGCCGAGUAUUAUAUAUUCUCCCCAGUUGAACUGGUAAGAAAAUCAAUCAGGCCCUCAUUAGUCGUUUCAGUUCAAAUCCCGCAUCCAACAACUAAUGAUUGAUAUGUACAGCGUUUGAGCUUAUUUACCCAGAAAUGAUUUCAGCAAUGCAGUAUUUAUAGAUAAGAUGGGAACAGUACGAGUAUAUAGUAAAUGUAAAGAUGGUCCCUGCUAGAGUGCAAGCACUGAUUCCUUCUAUCAAUAAAUUGAACAGUUUUGCUCAUAAAAAAAAAAAAAAGGGAAUUCUGCAAUGCUUUGACUAACUCAACGGAUUACAAGUACCAUUCAACAAACACACCCAAUGUUGCAUUUGCGCAUCUAGUCAAUUUUAAACUUGUUCAGGUAGAUGACGCUGCAUUUACAGGAAACAAUCAACAAUAUCAGAUUCUCUCUGUUGAGGAGAACUGCAAGAAUCAAUUAUUUUGUAGAUUUUGCCAGUUUAUCAAGGUAUAAUAGGGUACCAAACUUUAAGUAUAAAUGACUAUAUCCACAUCAACGGGCAUCUAAGCCAUCUAUAAAAGCAUUUUCUGAAAAAACUUACACGGCACUCGCACUAGAUUAGCAGGUCUCAUUUGAAUUCAAGUUUUUUUACCACCGUAUUUGCUCGGAACUUCAGAUAAUAAAGCAAUUAGACCAUAGAUUGAAGCUACUGCAAUUUAGCAUUGAUUCCAACGGCCAUUAGAGCAAGAAAUAACCAAAUAUUUGUACGAGAGAUAAAAACUUACAAUAUGCCCUCUAGAAAUCCCCAGCUGGGCCAAAGCAGAAGCUAACUUCAGACAUCUUGCACGAGUCUCUGCCCAAGUGUACCUGACAGAACCAUAUAUGACCGAUGUUCUAUCUCCGAAAAUCUUUGCUGAUCGAUUCAAAAAACUUAUUGGUGUCAAAGGAACAUAAUUGGCAGAACAUCUAACCAGACCCUCCAUGGACUGCCAUGAUGACUCAAUUUCAAGAUUCUCUGAAGUCAGUUGACUUAGCCCGCGAGUACUUCUUUUAAUACAAUAAGGCACAACUCUUUUCCGGCCGUGAUAGAACCAGCCUGCCAAUGAUUUCUUGAUGAAUUGGUUCAUGGCAGUGAAGUUUCAGAGAAGAGUGUGCAAGACAAAGACAAAGGCCAUAAAGUAAUCAGUUGUUCUACUUAAGGAAUUAUACGUGGACAGAAAGCAGGAACAUGUUUAUCAAAAAAAGGGAGUCGCCAUCAUUUCCCACGUCUUCCGCCAACCAAGUU